rnacentral:rRNA from 1 species
AUUGAACGCUGGCGGCAUGCCUUACACAUGCAAGUCGAACGGCAGCACGGGUGCUUGCACCUGGUGGCGAGUGGCGAACGGGUGAGUAAUACAUCGGAACGUACCUUAUCGUGGGGGAUAACGCAGCGAAAGCUGUGCUAAUACCGCAUACGCCCUGAGGGGGAAAGCGGGGGAUCGAAAGACCUCGCGCGAUUAGAGCGGCCGAUGCCUGAUUAGCUUGUUGGUGGGGUAAAAGCCCACCAAGGCGACGAUCAGUAGCUGGUCUGAGAGGACGAUCAGUCACAAUGGGACUGGGACACGGGCCAGACUCCUACGGGAGGCAGCAGUGGGGAAUUUUGGACAAUGGGGGCAACCCUGAUCCAGCAAUGCCGCGUGAGUGAAGAAGGCCUUCGGGUUGUAAAGCUCUUUUGUCAGGGAAGAAACACCGGCUCUAACACAGUCCGGGAAUGACGGUACCUGAAGGAUAAGCACCGGCUAACUACGUGCCAGCCGCCGCCGUAA